CCUACGGGUGGCAGCAGUGAGGAAUAUUGGUCAAUGGACGUAAGUCUGAACCAGCCAUGCCGCGUGCAGGAAGACUGCCCUAUGAGUUGUAAACUGCUUUUGUAAAGGAGUAAAACUGACUACGUGUAUUCAGCUGAAUGUACUGUACGAAUAAGGAUCGGCUAACUCCGUGCCAGCAGCCGCGGUAAUACGGAGGAUCCAAGCGUUAUCCGGAUUUAUUGGGUUUAAAGGGUGCGUAGGCGGGUUGAUAAGUUAGAGGUGAAAUGUUCGGGCUUAACUCGGGAAUUGCCGCUGAUACUGGUGAUCUAGAGAGUAGAUGAGGUAGGCGGAAUGCGUGGUGUAGCGGUGAAAUGCUUAGAGAUCACACAGAACACCGAUUGCGAAGGCAGCUUACCAAUCUAUAUCUGACGUUGAGGCACGAAAGCGUGGGGAGCAAACAGGAUUAGAUACCCGUGUAGUC
rnacentral:rRNA from 1 species